AUUUCACAACUGAAGCUGCUCUUUUGUAACUUCCAACCCAUUCCAAACCCUUUUUCUUUCAGGGUAAUGAAAAGCACUGCUGCAAUAUAAAGCUCCACAGUCAAACCUCUCUGAUGGAACAGAUUCUUCUUUUGUAAGAACAGAAAACAGGGCAGUAUGUGAUUUUUUUCAAAACUUAUGAAGAUACUUAAAUCACAGAAAGAGUAUUUUUAAAAACAAGAAAAAAAAGAAUACUGCUACAGAUAAAAGGAACCUUCUUAGUUUAUUUCUUCAAGGAGCAUGAUGACUUAGCUGAAGUUCAGUUGAAUUGGUCAAGGUUAACAGAACUUAUAAUCAACUCCUGAAAACCUUUCCCCAGAAUUUAGAUGAACUAUUCUAGGUGAAAAAAAAAUAAAAACAGAAAAACCUUAAAGCAAAGUAAGGUUAAAGACAAAA